rnacentral:rRNA from 1 species
GAUGAACGCUGGCGGCGUGCCUAAUACAUGCAAGUCGAGCGAAUGGAUUAAGAGCUUGCUCUUAUGAAGUUAGCGGCGGACGGGUGAGUAACACGUGGGUAACCUGCCCAUAAGACUGGGAUAACUCCGGGAAACCGGGGCUAAUACCGGAUAACAUUUUGAACCGCAUGGUUCGAAAUUGAAAGGCGGCUUCGGCUGUCACUUAUGGAUGGACCCGCGUCACAUUAGCUAGUUGGUGAGGUAACGGCUCACCAAGGCAACGAUGCGUAGCCGACCGGGGAGGGUGAUCGGCACACUGGGACUGAGACACGGCCCAGACUCCUACGGGAGGCAGCAGUAGGGAAUCUUCCGCAAUGGACGAAAGUCUGACGGAGCAACGCCGCGUGAGUGAUGAAGGCUUUCGGGUCGUAAAACUCUGUUGUUAGGGAAGAACAAGUGCUAGUUGAAUAAGCUGGCACCUUGACGGUACCUAACCAGAAAGCCACGGCUAACUACGUGCCAGCAGCCGCCGUAA